GAUCUUUUGAAUAUUCCCACCAAAACGUUUGGCAACCAAAAGAUAUUCAAACCUUUUCUAAUUUAACUAAACAUCUAAAUCAAGUGAUUGUCCUAUUCAUCAAUUAAUAUGUUCAUCAAGCAGUUAACCAACGAUAAACAACUUUGAUUGACCAACUUGAUGCCUUGAUUCCAGUGUAUGGAUGUCUCAAACAUGGUAUUGAUUCUUGAUUCUGAUGAUCAGUCUAUCAAUUGUUACUUUAUUUACAGUUUAAUUGCUACAUAAUAUCCUAUAAGGUUGAAUCGUUUGAAUUACACAAAGUGAACCUUAAAUUUCACUUUUACCUUCAAGCUGAUUAAAGAUUACAAAUCCAUCUAUAUUUAAGAAGUGGAUUAACAUUGACAAUCGCCAAUCAUCUAAAUAGCAGUUUCAUUUGAUGAGCAUUUCGUUGUAGCAGCUGAUGAUGCUCUGGGCGUUGAAGAAAAAAAGGAUUCAUGAAAAAAAUGAUAUUUUUUUCAACUCUUUCAUACUCAUUUUGAUGAUCAUUUUGCUUAUUGAAAAUACCAACUUACAUUUGAUUACCUGAUUAGAGAAGGUAAUAGAAAGUUAAAGAGAAAGUAAAGGUUAUUAGUCUAUUAAUCUUUAAUCAAAACUAAAAUAAAAAUGAUAUCUGAUGUUUCCUAAUCUUCAAUCAGAUGAUCCAUCUUUUAGAAUCACUAUUUCACGGUUUACAUCUAAUUGUCUUUUUUGCAGCAAAUCAAAAGCUGACCCACAAACUGGUAAUAUCAAUUUCUGAUUAAUGUCAACAAAAUUAAACCUUUCGCAUGGGAAAUUUGGAAGUCCAUUUGAGUUUCAAACGUGAGAAACAAUUGGUUUCAUCUAAUGACGAGAAACAAUUUAAUUGUAUAAUUUCAGGGAUAACAGUACAUAUAAUUGCUUGAAAUAUGCAACUUACAGUCAUCAAACACUCAGUACAAGUUCAACAAUAAAAGCUUCCUUUGUUAUUGUUCACAUAUUAACACCGGAAUUGUCCAUAUUAUAUAAAUAAAUCAGACGGCCAGUAAAUAGAGCAGACAUGUAAAAAAUUUAUGGUUACUAUAAAUACACAGUUAACACAAUUGUCACAUUUAUGCACAAAUUGACCUCAUGUGUUUUGUAGCAACUAUUUUGGCCCUUUCACAGCUUACAUAAGAAAAAUGAUCUUAUGGAAAGAUCUGGCUCCAUAAUAGUACAAAAAGAUAUCCAAGUUUCAAGUUUGAACUCGAUUUUCUCAAAAUGUCGAUCAGAGAAAUUUUUAAACAAAAAUAAACUCAGAACUUAUUUCCCUACAAACAAACAGAGUCUAAAUUUGUACUUAAUUUUGGUAAUAAAAUAAUCUUUUUGUCCGUUUUUACCUUUG